UCCGUAGGCGGUGUGGCAAGUCGGAAGUGAAAUCUCAGGGCUUAACCCUGAGGCUGCUCCCGAAACUGCCGUGCUAGAGUGCGAGAGAGGCGAGUGGAAUUGCAGGUGUAGCGGUGAAAUGCGUAGAUAUCUGCAGGAACACCCGAGGCGAAAGCGGCUCGCUGGAUCGCAACUGACGCUGAGGGACGAAAGCUAGGGGAGCAAACAGGAUUAGAUACCCUGGUAGUCCUAGCCCUAAACGAUCAGGACUGGGCGUGGGCCCCGUACGGGGCUCGUGCCGCAGCUAACGCGUUAAGUCCUGCGCCUGGGGAGUACGGUCGCAAGGCUGAA
rnacentral:rRNA from 1 species